AUGCCCCGCCCUAUUGACAAACCUGAUGUUUCUGAAGUGGCUGAUUCAGAUAUGUUUGUUGAUCUUUCACCGUUGGAUUCUGCCCCGCAAGUUAUUCGCGGUCCGGCCAGUAGGCAUGAGAGGCACCCAAUGGCCUUCACCCCACUGAGCUUCAGCCUUGGCGUCAGUCAAGAUCAACCAGUGGCUCAAGAUCCUAUGCUAGUUGCCUUUGCUUUUCCGGGAAGCAUGCUCGCAAUGAUGGCGCAGCCAAUGGUUGAGGGCAGGAAGGCUAUCAAGUUCGCAGAGCCGAUCGUCCAAGGUAUCCUAAACCACAUUUUGAUCCUUGCAGGCACCCCUGAGGAGAUUUCACCGUCUCUUGAUGAAGCUUACCGUAGGAUUGAGGAGGCAGCAUUGCAGAGGAGGUCCUCACGAGGUCAGGGGCAAUCAAGUUCCAAUGUGCCUGUAGAUACAGUAUCUGAGGAUACCAUUAGGAGUGCCACCCCUGGUUUUGUGAGGCAGCAGAGGGUAGUUCACCCACCCCCCAUGGAAGACUACGAGCCUGAAGUCAGGGCCACAAAGGAACAGACCUAG
rnacentral:rRNA from 1 species